UACGUAGGGGUGCAAGCGUUGUCCGGAAUUAUUGGGCGUAAAGAGCUCGUAGGCGGUCUGUCGCGUCUGCUGUGAAAACUCGGGGCUUAACCCCGGGCCUGCAGUGGGUACGGGCAGACUAGAGUGCGGUAGGGGAGACUGGAAUUCCUGGUGUAGCGGUGAAAUGCGCAGAUAUCAGGAGGAACACCGGUGGCGAAGGCGGGUCUCUGGGCCGUAACUGACGCUGAGGAGCGAAAGCGUGGGGAGCGAACAGG
rnacentral:rRNA from 1 species